UUCCAAUUGUACCAUGGACGAGAUGCAAGCUACAGCCAGCAUGCCCGUAUCCUGAAGAAGAUCAAGGAAUACUUCCGCGGGAGAGAUCCCGGGGGGGAGAGAGACGAUACCCUAUGGAAAGACCCCACGAGCAACUCAUAUACUACAGGAGUAACGAAGAGAACCCAAAUCCUGUAAUGUCAAAAGCUUCCUUAGCCCACAAUUCACUUGAACUAGCCAGACCGAAGUACGUCUUUCCGUGAUAAUAAUGUCAUCAACAUAAACUGAGAUAAUUAAUGUACCUAGCCCUGAGACUGAGACGAAUAAAAGCAAGUAUGACUGAGUGGCACUGCUGAAAAUCCCGAGACAAGACUACCUCACUAAGCAGUGGAACCAAGCCCUAGGAGACUGCUUAAGGCCAUAGAUAGAUUUUCGGAUGGCGAUUAAACAUUCCCCGAAUAAUCCUCUCGAGCCCGAAAACCUGAGGUGGGAUCCAUAUAUAUAGUCUCUGAGAGAUCACCAUUGUAAGCCACACAAGCCCAUCUUGACAUCCAAGUGGUGAGAGGUCACGACGUCCGGAGCAGCACAGCAAGGGAAAUCAAAAGACGCAAUGGUAUUCACUUUGGCCAACUAGGGCAACCCAGUAGCACCACAAUCCUUACCAGGGAAUCUGAGUAAAAACAACCGUAGCAACAAGAACGAGCCUUAUAUCGAUCAAACAGUGCGCUUUCCUUUCAAGGCAACGCAAUAAGAUCCAGUCGAUUUCGCUGAAGAGCCUCCAUCUCCGCCUUCAUGGCCGAAACCUACAAAAGGAUUUGGUUAGAGCUUCAUAGACUGAAGCGAGGAUGGAAAUCGAAUCACCUGACUAAGAAAAAGACUAUUAGAAUCUGAAAGACCGUGAUAAGACAAAUAUUGUGCAAUAGGCUGAUUAGUACUAUGAAAAAAGAAAACGAGAAGGGGACGCGAAACACGUGUGGGAUACCGAGGUGGGGGGAAUAUUAGAAACUAAGGAGGAAACAUACCUAACUCCGGAGGGGAGAAGACAACUGGCAAUGGAUAUAGGAGACGAGGGGGAGGGAUUUGGUGUUUGGGGUAAUGAGAGGCGAUCGGGGGCAUGGAGCCAGUUGGUGGAGAGUUAGUUGAUAAAGUAGGCUCAAGUAUAGGAAGAGGACGAGGAGGUAUGGGGGUCAUCUGAGUAAGCAUCUCAGAACAAGGAACCCGGAGAAGGAGUUGGGCAAUCAGAAAAAAAGAGAACAGUUUCCCAAAAAACGUGACUCUAACAAGUGAGACAUAUGACGAGGACAGGAUCAUAACAACCUAUACCCCUUGACAUCGAGGAAUACCCGAGGAAAAUACAACGUACGGCUUAUCAUCUAGUUAGUACGGGUGUUGGGUCCCAAAGGACACGGGGGAUAAAGGAAAUAGGGUAUUAGCAGGAUGAAGGACAUGGCGAGGAGCCCGCCUGUAAUACCCGACUGGGAGGCCGAUUUGAUAAGGUAGGUAGCAAGUGAGAACUGCCAUGUGCCACGAAAUACUUAGGUACCCUCCUACCCCGUAAGAGACACGAAACCCGACAUAAAAAAAAUUAUGACAAUUUGUUAGCUCAGCUACCCCAUUCUUCUCAAGGUGGUGUAGGACAUGUAAGUUGUUGGGAGUUACCACUUUUUUUUAAGUUUCCCACAGAAACUCAUGUGGAUAUACUUCUCGACCAUAUCGGACCUGAUGUUACGCCACAUUCAGUGUAAUUGGGUUUUGAUCAUUUGUAGGAAGUGAGUAAAGUGAGGAAAAAUCUCAGAUUAUGAAGCAGUAAGGUAGGACUAAGUACAACGCAUGUUAAAUCAUCUAUGAAGGUUGACAUAAUAGCGGUGUGAGAGAGUGCAGUAACUGGAGACGGUCCCCAUACGUCUGAAUGAAUAAGUCCAAAGGCACUAGGGGCCUACGAUGCAUACCGAGGAAUAUAAGAGGGGCACGAGGAUGCGUAGUAAACUCACAAAAGCACAGUUAAAAAAUUAAAUUUUUGACAUGCUUAUGAACGAGGAAAAAAGACAACAUAAAUAUUGAAAGUUAGCAUGCCCUAAACGAGGCAGCAUGCCACAAAUCUAAGGUGUGAAACAAAAAAAUAGACGCCUUUAAACCAGACGAACUUAAAACAGAUUGACUCUAACACUGGAGGAGGAGAAAAACCUGGAAGGCUAGAUGACACCGUACCUAGAGGUUAAAGGAUCCCCAAGUAGUAUAGUCCAUCCCGCUUCAUACCCCUUGCCAAAAAUCUUCUUCGAAUCAGGUCCUGCAAGAAGCAAAGAGAUGGUAAGAAAAACAAAGGCACAAAUUAAGAUAUUUUGCAAAGGGGACGACUAAAGACGACUGAACAAAAAGAGGAUUAGAGGGGCAAAAUGAGGUGGUACAUUAAAUAUACAGAUGAAAGGGUAAUAUCGGAGAGGAUAAAAAACGAGCAAACUUCCCUGAUACGAAUGGGGAAUGGGAUGAACCAUUCAGAAUAUAAAUUGAUUGAUGAACAAAAGUAAUAAGGAGUAAAGGUAGUAAGCUCACCAAUCAAUGGAUUAUUUGCUCCUGAUCAAAAUCCAAGUGGGGUGACCUGACUACCCAUGAAGAGCGGGAGGAGUCUAUGCAACUAUAGCGGUGGGGGCCAAAGGAUUGGGACGGCAGGUGCUAAUCCCAGGUGACUUGCCAAGAUGAGCAAUCAGAGCUGAAAGUUGUGAAAGUGUUUUGAAGUCAAGUAAAUUAGCAGGUAUAGGGUCCACUUCAGCAAUACCGCCAGUCCGGGGUAGGCCUCUACCUCGGCCCCACUACGGUCCACCCCCACGACCACCUCCACGAGGUCGAGAAAACCGUUGCUUCAAAUCAGGAUGGAGGAACCCAACAGCGAUCCAAUGAGGUGGACCGGACCUUGUGACAGUGUGAACAAUAUAAGUGGUCCCUGAAGAAAAAACAAAUGCCAUAUGUUGUUUAGGAAACAAUAGGAGAGGACUCGAGUAGUGAAAAGGAUGGUUUAAAGACGGACGCCUCUGCUCAUCACCAUCCACGUAGCAAACGCCUCAUUAAAGGGAAGACAGCUGGUUGAUGUGUUUAAAAUGAGUGCGAAGAGGUCCCAAACUCAGGUUUUUAAACCCAUCAAAAACUGAUAGGUAUGUUGACAUCAAGGGCAUUGGACUAACGCUCCAAUCAAUAGGAAAAUCACUGAGGGCUGUAUUGCAAGCUAAUUACUCCCAUCUUAGUCUGAAGAUAUCCAAAAUAACGGCAAUAGAGAGUUCCAAGGAAUGAGCUGAGAUGAAUGAGCGAUCUUCGGUCGGAUAACUCAAACAAUCGGGACUCUUGCGGGAAUGGCAUACAUCUGGGUCAAUGCAGUCCCACAACCCCAUGGACAGUAUCAUGGUACAUAAACAUGUGUAGACUCGAUCUCCAUCGAGUUGAACAUUCCAGCCCACGAUAAUACAGUAUCUGGAAAUCUAUUUCAUCAAACUUGGGAUCAGAUUCAGCAGGUUUUGGUUCUUUUCCCAGAAUCCAAGGGUCUUGACGCUUUUCACCAAGGAAAAAAAAAGCUGUGGAAUGGAUGAAGGAACGAGACCAAGCAAUGAAAGUUCUUUCCAUUCACAACACGCUCGUUAAACGUUGAGCUGGUGAGACUGAGAAAGAGAAACUGGAACUGGGGCUCAAAACCGGAAACUAUAUGGGCUGGGGAAACUCUUUGAGGAGUCAUCCAUACGCAACACCAAGAACACAAUCGUAAAUUAAUCAGACUUUUUGUACUUUUUUGUUUAGAAUGCAUCAUUACCUAGGCCAGCAUGGUAGACUGCAAAAUGAAGGAUGGGCUUGGGAUGCGUGGUUUGUGGGUGUUGGCUGGACUAGGCUGCACAGGCUGGCUGGCGGACUGGGCUGGCUAGAACUGCCCAUAGCCUUGGUGCACAGGCUGGCUGGCUGGACUAGGCUGUGGAUGAAUUCGGGCUGCACGGCCUUGGCUGCACAGGCUGGAUUGGUGUGGACUGGGCUGCACAGGCUGGAAGGGGGGUAGGGUAGAAUGCAGGGGCUGUGCUGAAAACUACAAGCCUUGGAUUGGCUCUGCACGGUGCAGCGGCAGGGCUGCGUGGUCAAGGAGCAGGGACUGAUGGUGGUGGGGCUGCGUGCUGCUGGACAGAUGGGCUGCGUGGUUGCUGUUGGGACUACCCCACGCCAGGGCUGCACAGGAUGUGCUUGGCUGCACGGUGCAGGGGCAGGCUGCUGGUGGUGGCUGUUAGGGUUUGGGCUGCUUUUUACGACCAUUGGAGGCUAGGUUUUUGUUUUUUGUUGUUGUUGACUUGAUGCCAAGAAGAAGAAGUUUAGAAGGCUUAAAUUUUAUUCCUCCAAAGUUCUCAAGAUCUAAUACACAUGUAGGAAUUAAAUUAGGAAAGAAAUAAGGGAAAAAUUAAAAAGAGAAAUCAUUGGUAUUGGUCAACAUGACCUAUUAUAAAUAACCUACGAUAGGAAAUUCUCAUUAAAUUAAGGUAAAGAAAUCUUCUUAACCUGCCAACAGAUAAUCAGUUUGUGAAAAGCCACCAAAACAACAGACUUACAGAGCGUGACGCCCCCGACAGAGUUUGCUACAGAGAAGUUCAUCCAAUUACGUAGCAUUAAGACGAAAAUUUACAAAUUGAUAAUGACACGUAUUCACAUUUUAGGUACUAGGUGUAUUUUAUACACGACUGGAAGGCACGCCCAUCAACUUUUGCGCUUAAUGUUUGGAUGAUUGACCACUUAAAAAUGUUUGAACUUGAGACUUAGUGGUUGAAAUCCUAUGUUUUUGCCAUCAAACCAACCCUCUUGAUUACUGCACAUUAUUGUUCUUUUCACAUGGUUUUCGAUAUUCAGCUGAUUGAUUGGUAAAGUUUAAAUAUUUGGUAGUGUCGUUGAGAUGAAAACCAAUUUAUAGUGAAGAUUAUUAUAUAUGUGAUAGUCAUGAAUAAUUUAUUAAUUUGUUCUUGAUGUUGAUAUAACUAAUUAACAUAGUAGAAUAUUUGAAUCGGACUUCAAUGCGAUGAAGGUAGGUAAGAAAGUGGCAAACCACGUAAAUUUAGUAUCUUGUGAUUAUUUCAUUGUUAUUUCAUUUGUAUUGUUUGUUAAUUUGUUUUAAUCAUUAAUUUGUUUGAACCUAGAGAAGGAAGACGACAGAUGAAUUAAUUAAAAUUCAUAUGGGAGAAUUUGAAGAAAAUUGUCUUUUGUUGGUUUUUCACCACGGUGAGAGAAUUUCUAAUGAUUUAUGUCAUUCUAGCAAUGUUAUUUUCAAAAUUUAUGAUUUUUACCAUUUUAGCCGUAUUAGUGUUAAAAUUUAGUAUAUUACAAUAUUAUUUUGUCAUUAAUAUUGUUGCAUUGAUUGAAUAUUAUUUUAGUUAUACUAAUAUUUUUUUUAUUAUGGAUCAAAUUUUCACCUAGUAUCAAAAUUGCAUUUUAUUGAUCAUUGUGAAAACAGGCUACCUAAAUUUAAAAAGACACAUUUUGACUAGUUAAUUUGGUUUUAAUUGCUGGGAUGCUCUUAGGUCAAGUUCAUACUUGACCCUUGUGUCUAUUUGUCAUUAAACUUAAUUCAGUAGCUAGCACAAGAUCAGAAAGCUAUAUUGACAUUGGACUUGAAAUGUAAGAGAUUAACUGAUAUAAUUGAAAAUUAAAGUUAUAAAAUGAGAUUAGUAAAAGUACAUUAGAGAAAAGUUUAACUUUUUGAACAUUAAAGACGGGAUGAAGUAGAAAUUUUUAAUUUGCCAAAAUCAUCUGAUUGAACAAGUUAGAGAGGAGAGAGAGAGUGACGUCUUGUUCCCCUUUUCUGGGCCAUUAAACGCGCCAGUGGCUAGGGGACUGUCUCAUUGUUUGCGUCUGGAGGAAUACCAAGUUGGAAACAACCUUGUGUAGGCCAGUCCAUGUUUUCUCCUACCCAUUUCCAAAGGAGUUUGUAUGUAGAACUCCGUAGGGCACUGAGUUUGAGGAGGGAGGCAAUUCGUCUCUUCCAUGCUUUUGAGAUCACAUAAUAGUUCCAAACUAAACACUAGAAAAUGUACUACCUAUUUUUAGUCGGGUAUUGAAAUAUUUAUACUUUGACCCUCCAAAUUACACUUGUCAAGUCCUUUGUCAUAGAUACCUUUUAUGUUGUUUCGUGUUUGUAGGUCAUUUGAGCCUAUUAUACGAUCCUUUGGAUGAAUUUCAAAGGUUUGAAAUUUGUCCAGCAGUCAAAAAAGUCAUUUUCCAAAGCUUGUUACCAAAGCGUUAAAGCUUCCAAAGUACAAGGGGCUGAACUAUAAUUUUGGGCAAAAUCUAUAUACCAAAAAAAAAGAAACAGGGUUAAAUCCUAAUUUGGUCCUUAAACUAUUUCAAAUUUAUUUACUUCAUCUCUCAUCUACCAAUUGUAUUUAUUGAGUUAUCUAACAAAUCAAUUUAAGUCAAUUGUUUUCAAUUGAGGACCCGUCAUUUAAAAAGUGGACGUCAUCUGUCCACAUGACAUGCACGUAAGGACAAAAUAGUAUUUUCGUACGUGAAUGAACACGAAACACACAUGGGUCACCCUAAUUGACUUUAUACUCUGGUAAUCGAUCACCAAUUUGGGCAAAAUUGGUGUUUAGAGUUUUUAACAAACGAGAGUUUGUGUCCAAAUCGAUAAUGUUUUGGAUUCUAAGAUCAGGUAAUAACUACCUUCAAUUUUGUGGAGGUUAUGUGAAUGGAUACCAUCUACUUUUUAGAUGGCAGGUCAUUAAUUGGAUUUGAUCCAUGUAAAUUGAUUAGUUGGGGAACUCAAUAAGUGCAAUUAGUAGUUUAAGGACAAAGUAAACAAAUUCGGAAUAGUUUAAGGACCAAAAUAGUAUUUAAUCGAAGAAAAAAAAACGCUAGUUAGUAAAAUCAUUUAGAAUUGAUCUAUGGUCUUGAUUUGGGGAAUGAAAUCCCUUGAUGGCCGUUUAUCCUCUCAAUCAAUCAAUUAUAAUAUGGGGAGUGAUUUUAGGCAUUUGGAAUAUUUGUCCGUCGUUAGUGGUGCUCUUCUGCUUCUGGAGUCUGGACGUCUCAGGCGGAUCAUUGGAUGUGGCAACGCUUAGUAGCUCAUCUUGGCCGGCCAAUCAUUCCAAGCAGUAACACCCGGUGAGUACACCGAAUUAUUUCAUCGAAUGACUUGCGUUGUCUCCUACGUAAUUCCUAGUGAUUUCGAAUUCCCUUUUAUAAAACACCCAACCCAAUAGAACAAUAAAGUCUGAUUCUCUUGGUAGGAAAUGAAGCAUGUAAUUUGAAGUCUAUCAUUAGUUAAAUUCUUUAAGUUUAAAUUUAUCAAAAAUUAGAUAGAACAGUCUAUAGUAACGCUUAUCUGCUGCUAGUGCUGAUUUAGAAACUCUUAUACUUUGGGGGCUCACUAUCCUGUCUUUUCAAAUGUCACACCAUCUUCGAUUGUAUUGAACUAUCCAAUCCAAACAUUUUGGAUCCCAUUCUGAAUCUAUUCUAAAGAUUCAAAUCGUUCAUAUUAUAGAAUCCGUUGUGAAAAUCAAUACUAUAAAAAAAUAUGUUAAUUGGAUACAAAAUAUUAUCCAUUUAGUACUAUUUUAUAACUUAAUAAAUGAAUGUGACACACAAUAUAAUAUACAUUUAUCUUCAUAUAAAUUGAUAUUGGUAUGUGAUUAUUUACUGUAUUAAAGUUCUUACGUAAACUCUACAAUAUGAACAAUUUAGAUCAGAAAAAUGGGUCUGAAACGAUACCCAAAAUAUUUGGACUGCACUUAUGCUUUCCAAAAUUGGACUGUGUAGAAACUGUCCUAUCAUUGGGUGUUGUGUGAGAGAGAUAGGAGAGGAGGAGGAGAAGAGGAGGGUAGGUAAGGAUUGCCUGGUGGGCGUGGGAUGAUGGUGGGUCCGGUGGGUAUGAAAAAUAGGUCUAGUAUUGUUAUAUGAUAGUUUCUUAUAACUUUUUUUUAAAAAAAAUUUGGAGUAGAGAGAAAGCAAAAUUUUGAUGAACUUUUGUUUUUUUUAACCUUUUUUAACUUAAAAACUCUAACUUUUAACAUCUAAAUCUUUAUAACAUUUACGGCAUUUGUACUUUUUAUUAUAUUUUGAUAAAAUAUAAUAAAAGAUUUAAUAUAGAUAGAUAGAUAGCCUAUUUCAAUUUGAGCAUUUCAAAUGAGGUUUUAGAGGUUUUGGGUUGGAGAUUAAUUAUCAAGACAGAGGUACGCAUUACAACAAUGGAAUGGUACAUGAUAUUAUCAUGACCUAUAAGCGUUGCAACAUACGAAUCAAAUCAAGUGAAAGCUAUUAAUCACUCUUGCUUACUCUCAACUGACACAACAAAUUUAAAUUUAAAGCUUGGACACAACUUUAGUGGGCUGUCAUCAAAUGGACCGUCCACAUGCUCUCUUUCAUUUUCUUCAACCUCCUUCUUUGAACUCUUUCCAUAGCGGUUUCUGGGCACAUCAUUAGUAACCACAGUCCCAUCUUCCCCCUAUUUCUUUAAACCUUCAUAAAGCUAAUCAAAGGGGACUCCCUAGCGAGGCCGCCAUACCGAGUUUCUCCACCCCCCCAAAUCUAUCGCGUCAAAGCCAACGCGGGUCGUAUCAGAACAAAUAUAGAUUCCCCGCCACCGUAUGAAGAGGUCGUCCCUUAGUCACAUAAGAUCUGCCCGGACCCAAUACUCUCCGGUCAUUGGGUCCUUCGCCUUCUUCACUCCUCCCUACUAUUCAGCGGGGAAUCGAAAUCAUUCCAGCUCUUGAAACUGCAGCUGGAAAGGCAAAGACAUUUCCAUAGUAUCCUCGAGGUACACGCAGGUCGUGCUUUCCACGUCCGGUGGCUGCACACGAGAUGCGAAUCGUCUCAUUGGGGUCUAGACCAAGUGCACAAGUUCGGCAUCUCCAUAAACACGCGGUUAAGACGUCGAAUGUGGUGCUUGUUGAGCGGGGGUGAAGCGAAGAUGGCUUCGAAUGGCUGUUUAAACUCCUUGGGACGCGAAAAAAAAAGACUUGUGGUCGUGCUUUUGUUGUUGUCAGCCGUGGUGUGUCGAUCACUUGCUCGUACGGGAUGCUGGAAUGUGAUGGAGGGAGUGUGUCUCGCAGCUAGGAACUCCCUUUGCCACACCGUGUGGCACAGAGGUGGCACCCUCUGCGCCUCGGCAAACUCACAAUUGUAUUAAAAAUUGGACGCACCCUUGUGCACUCACUCAUUGUGUGGUUUACGCGUAUGGCAAACGCCCAUCCACCGCAUCUAAAACGGGUCACCUGCAUGAAAAUUAAAAAAAC
rnacentral:lncRNA from 1 species